rnacentral:misc_RNA from 1 species
AAGUCGUAACAAGGUAACCGUAGGUGAACCUGCGGUUGGAUCAUUAAUGUAAAACCAACCAGUGUUUUGAGGGUGGUGGUGAGGGGCUUACACCCCUCUCUCCCUCCUUUGAGCACUAACCUCACACCCUUUGUGCAACCCGAACUUUGCAUGAGAAGAAAAGGGAGACCUUCCAUUGACUGGAGACGUUGUUGGCUCUCUUUGCAGAGUCAAUAAUGACGACAGACUUUUGGGCUCCUCCUCCUCCUCCUCUGCUUUGUUCAACCCAACUUGAAUGAUAUCAUUGAUUGUCUGAUACAAAUAUAUACUCUUUUGUUUGUGUGUGUGUGUGUAUGCUUUGAGCACUGUUUGUUUACAGUGUGAGAGAAACACCACCAUAUGCAGAGAGGAAAAAAAUAACAUCAAACAACUUUUAACAACGGAUCUCUUGGCUCUC